rnacentral:rRNA from 1 species
UUAAUUUAAGGUCUGGCCUGCUCGCUGAUUAAUUGAAGAGCCGCGGUAUUUUGACCGUGCGAAGGUAGCAUAAUAAUUAGUUUUUUUAUUGAGAACUGGUAUGAAUGGUUGGACGAGAAAAAAUCUGUCUCUUUUUGAAUUUUUGAAUUUUACUUUUUAGUUAAAAGGCUAAAAUUUUUUUAAAAGACGAGAAGACCCUACAGAGUUUUAUUUAUUUAAUAUUAUAAGUAUUUGGAAUGUGUUAUUUUAAUAUUAUAUUAAAUUUAGUUGGGGUGAUUAAGAAAUUUAUUUAACUUUCUUUUUAUUUUUACAUUGAUUUAUGAGUUUUUGAUCCAAUAUUUUUGAUUAUAAGAGUUAAUUACCUUAGGGAUAACAGCGUAAUUUUUCUUGAGAGUUCUUAUCGAAAGAAAAGUUUGCG